rnacentral:rRNA from 1 species
GUUGAGCGGAGAUAUAUGGAGCUUGCUUUAUAUAACUUAGCAGCGAACGGGUGAGUAACACGUAGAUAAUCUAUCCUAUACUGGGGGAUAGCCCGAUGAAAGUUGGAUUAAUACCGCAUAUAGCUAUAUAGUUGCAUGAUUAUGUAGUGAAAGAUUUAUUGGUAUAGGAGGAGUCUGCGGCACAUUAGCUAGUAGGUGAGGUAAAGGCUUACCUAGGCGACGAUGUGUAGCCGGUCUGAGAGGAUGAACGGCCACAAUGGAACUGAGACACGGUCCAUACUCCUACGGGAGGCAGCAGUGGGGAAUAUUGCACAAUGGGGGAAACCCUGAUGCAGCAACGCCGCGUGAGUGAAGAAGGUUUUCGGAUUGUAAAGCUCUGUUAGCAGGGAAGAGGAAGGACGGUACCUGCAGAGGAAGCCACGGCUAACUACGUGCCAGCAGCCGCGGUAAUACGUAGGUGGCAAGCGUUGUUCGGAAUAACUGGGCGUAAAGGAUGCGUAGGCGGUUAAACAAGUUAUAUGUUAAAUAUAUAGGCUUAACCUGUAGAAAGCAUAUAAAACUGUUUAACUAGAGUGCAGGAGAGGUAAGUGGAAUUCCUAGUGUAGCGGUGAAAUGCGUAGAGAUUAGGAAGAACACCAGUGGCGAAGGCGACUUACUGGACUGUAACUGACGCUGAGGCAUGAGAGCAUGGGGAGCAAACAGGAUUAGAUACCCUGGUAGUCCAUGCUGUAAACGAUGGGUACUAGGUGU